AACAGAAAUACAAUAACAAGAGGUUUUAAAUAAAUUUCAUACAAUAACAUGUUUUAUGAUUGCUAUGAAACGAUCAAUAAAAGGUUAUGAAAGCCAUAAUUUGCUUUUACAUCGGCCAGAGAGCAAGGUGUUCAAUAACAUGAGUGUUGUUUGUCCGACCAAUCCCCAUAGCACUGAGAGAGUAAAAUGAACCGAGUCCCUCCACUAAACUGAAGUAGAACAGAUUAUUGUUUAUAGCAGAUGGGUGAUAAAAUUUUGAAAUAAUGGGAAUAUUUAAACAAAGCAGGAAAAGAGGAAAGCCAUAAUAUUAAUCCCCCCAUGGAGACUUGUUGGAUUAUAUGGGAUUACAGUAGAGCCAAGAAACAGGUCAGCAGUCUUUGGUGACAAGGCUCUCUCUCUCUCUUCUUUUCCUCUCUACCCGUUAUCAAUACAUUUUGUUCUUUGACUUCUGUGUGUGUGUGUGUGUGUGUGUUGUGGACAUUAUGGAGAUGUUGAAGAGGCAAUUACAAGAAUGUUUGUCUUCUGUAUGUAUGUAAAUGUGUGUGUGUGUGUGUGUGUG